AACGAACGCUGGCGGCAUGCCUAAUACAUGCAAGUCGAACGAUCACUUCGGUGGUAGUGGCGCACGGGUGCGUAACGCGUGGGAAUCUGCCCUUGGGUUCGGAAUAACUUCGGGAAACUGAAGCUAAUACCGGAUGAUGACGUUAAGUCCAAAGAUUUAUCGCCCAGGGAUGAGCCCGCGUAGGAUUAGCUAGUUGGUGGGGUAAAGGCCUACCAAGGCGACGAUCCUUAGCUGGUCUGAGAGGAUGAUCAGCCACACUGGGACUGAGACACGGCCCAGACUCCUACGGGAGGCAGCAGUAGGGAAUAUUGGACAAUGGGCGCAAGCCUGAUCCAGCAAUGCCGCGUGAGUGAUGAAGGCCUUAGGGUUGUAAAGCUCUUUUACCCGGGAUGAUAAUGACAGUACCGGGAGAAUAAGCUCCGGCUAACUCCGUGCCAGCAGCCGCAGUAAAAC
rnacentral:rRNA from 1 species